GGCAAGAUGGCCGAGCGGUCUAAGGCGGCAGAUUUAAGUCAAGGUACUGGAACUCUGCUAGUGGAAACACUGCGUGGGUUCGAACCCCACUCUUGUCA